rnacentral:rRNA from 1 species
UACGUAGGGGGCAAGCGUUGUCCGGAUUUAUUGGGCGUAAAGAGCGUGUAGGCGGCCAGACAGGUCCGUUGUGAAAACUCGAGGCUCAACCUCGAGACGUCGAUGGAAACCGUCUGGCUAGAGUCCGGAAGAGGAGUGUGGAAUUCCUGGUGUAGCGGUGAAAUGCGCAGAUAUCAGGAAGAACACCUAUGGCGAAGGCAGCACUCUGGGACGGUACUGACGCUGAGACGCGAAAGCGUGGGGAGCGAACGGG